UUUUUAUGAGAGUUUGAUCCUGGCUCAGGACGAACGCUGGCGGCGUGCCUAAUACAUGCAAGUCGAACGCUUCUUUUUCCACCGGAGCUUGCUCCACCGGAAAAAGAGGAGUGGCGAACGGGUGAGUAACACGUGGGUAACCUGCCCAUCAGAAGGGGAUAACACUUGGAAACAGGUGCUAAUACCGUAUAACAAUCAAAACCGCAUGGUUUUGAUU
rnacentral:rRNA from 1 species